CUCGACAAGUUGAAAAUAUAAAAUAGAUGCAUUAUUUAUACGGAUGAGAGCUUGGGUUUUUGUUGAAAAUUUUUAUUUCCCUGGUUUCCAAUCCUCGAGCACAAUGAAUUCGCUUAAGAUUGACAAUGAAUUAAUAAGAGGGGCAUGAUAAUAAAUAUUGUUUUAGACGUUACAGCGCAAACUAAUUUUUAGGCAUUCUAUUGAUUGACUAAUUUGGAAUGCAACAAAAAAAUAAAUAAUACAUGUUUGAAGAAUAUUUGGUCAAGUUCUUGUAAGCUACUUCACAAUUUGAAGUUUCCAAAUUAUUUUUGUUGCUUUAGAUUUGUCUUUAAAAGCCUCACUUGACGGAAAUCGUGAAGAAUGAUGAAAUAAAAUGGAAAGUUGAAGAGUUAGAUGCAAAUUACAACUAGAAAAGGCAAAGGAGUAUUAUCUCCAGCAUAAUCAGUAAUUUUCAGAAUCCAAACUCUUCCCAGUUGAUGUAGCUUUGAUUAGAUAACACGGAACAUUUCAAGGGAAGAGAUUUAUGGCACGAAUCAACCUCUGUAUAUGCC
rnacentral:lncRNA from 1 species